AAAGGGCGCGUAGGCGGGAUAGAAAGUCAGAUGUGAAAUCCUGGGGCUCAACCUCAGAACAGCAUUUGAAACUCCUAUUCUGGAGGGUAGACGGAGAAAACGGAAUUCCACAAGUAGCGGUGAAAUGCGUAGAUAUGUGGAAGAACAUCGGUGGCGAAGGCGGUUUUCUAGUUUAUACCUGACGCUAAAGCGCGAAAGCAAGGGGAUCAAACAGGAUUAGAUACCCCAGU
rnacentral:rRNA from 1 species